rnacentral:rRNA from 1 species
GACGAACGCUGGCGGCGUGCUUAACACAUGCAAGUCGAACGGAAAGGCCCUGCUUUUGUGGGGUGCUCGAGUGGCGAACGGGUGAGUAACACGUGAGUAACCUGCCCUUGACUUUGGGAUAACUUCAGGAAACUGGGGCUAAUACCGGAUAGGAGCUCCUGCUGCAUGGUGGGGGUUGGAAAGUUUCGGCGGUUGGGGAUGGACUCGCGGCUUAUCAGCUUGUUGGUGGGGUAGUGGCUUACCAAGGCUUUGACGGGUAGCCGGCCUGAGAGGGUGACCGGCCACAUUGGGACUGAGAUACGGCCCAGACUCCUACGGGAGGCAGCAGUGGGGAAUAUUGCACAAUGGGCGGAAGCCUGAUGCAGCAACGCCGCGUGCGGGAUGACGGCCUUCGGGUUGUAAACCGCUUUCGCCUGUGACGAAGCGUGAGUGACGGUAAUGGGUAAAGAAGCACCGGCUAACUACGUGCUAGCAGCCGCGGUGAUACGUAGGGUGCGAGCGUUGUCCGGAUUUAUUGGGCGUAAAGGGCUCGUAGGUGGUUGAUCGCGUCGGAAGUGUAAUCUUGGGGCUUAACCCUGAGCGUGCUUUCGAUACGGGUUGACUUGAGGAAGAUAGGGGAGAAUGGAAUUCCUGGUGGAGCGGUGGAAUGCGCAGAUAUCAGGAGGAACACCAGUGGCGAAGGCGGUUCUCUGGGCCUCUCCUGACGCUGAGGAGCGAAAGCGUGGGGAGCGAACAGGCUUAGAUACCCUGGUAGUCCACGCUGUAAACGGUGGGUACUAGGUGUGGGGUCCAUUCCACGGGUUCCGUGCCGUAGCUAACGCUUUAAGUACCCCGCCUGGGGAGUACGGCCGCAAGGCUAAAACUCAAAGGAAUUGACGGGGCCCCGCACAAGCGGCGGAGCAUGCGGAUUAAUUCGAUGCAACGCGUAGAACCUUACCUGGGUUUGACAUGGAUCGGGAGUGCUCAGAGAUGGGUGUGCCUCUUUUGGGGUCGGUUCACAGGUGGUGCAUGGCUGUCGUCAGCUCGUGUCGUGAGAUGUUGGGUUAAGUCCCGCAACGAGCGCAACCCUUGUUCACUGUUGCCAGCACGUUAUGGUGGGGACUCAGUGGAGACCGCCGGGGUCAACUCGGAGGAAGGUGGGGAUGACGUCAAGUCAUCAUGCCCCUUAUGUCCAGGGCUUCACGCAUGCUACAAUGGCUGGUACAGAGAGUGGCGAGCCUGUGAGGGUGAGCGAAUCUCGGAAAGCCGGUCUCAGUUCGGAUUGGGGUCUGCAACUCGACCUCAUGAAGUCGGAGUCGCUAGUAAUCGCAGAUCAGCAACGCUGCGGUGAAUACGUUCCCGGGGCU